rnacentral:tRNA from 1 species
GUUUACAUAAUUUAAGAAGAAUAGUACAUUGAAGCUGUAAAAGAGAUAGAUUUAUCUGUAAACA